UACAGAGGUCUCAAGCGUUGUUCGGAUUCAUUGGGCGUAAAGGGUGCGUAGGCGGCGCGGUAAGUCGGAUGUGAAAUCUCGGAGCUUAACUCCGAAACUGCAUUCGAUACUGCCGUGCUUGAGGACUGGAGAGGAGACUGGAAUUUACGGUGUAGCGGUGAAAUGCGUAGAUAUCGUAAGGAAGACCAGUGGCGAAGGCGGGUCUCUGGACAGUUCCUGACGCUGAGGCGCGAAAGCCAGGGGAGCAAACGGG
rnacentral:rRNA from 1 species